rfam:Myotis lucifugus cont2.36996, whole genome shotgun sequence.
GGCAGUUCUCAGGUAAGGCACCCCAGAAUCGGGCUCCCUCCUCUCUGGUUCUGGGUGCAUCACCCAAGAACCGCA